GUAUCCAUGGUGUGGGCAUUGCAGUAAAAGUGAUUUGAAGCGAUCUCAUGCUUUAUGAAAGGAUUCAGUAUCCUUUUGAUAAAAGUUGGAAAUUUCAGCCCUUAACUC
rfam:Ricinus communis cultivar Hale ctg_1100012298899, whole genome shotgun sequence.